rnacentral:rRNA from 1 species
AACGAACGCUGGCGGCAUGCCUAACACAUGCAAGUCGAACGAGACCUUCGGGUCUAGUUGCGCACGGGGGCGUAACGCGUGGGAACCGGCCCUUAGGCUCGGAAUAACUCCCCGAAAGGGGUGCUAACACCGGGUAAUUUCCGCGGACAAAAGAUUUAUCGAGUUUGGGUGGGCCCGCGUUGGUUUAGCUAGGUGGGAGGGUAAAAGCCGACCAAGGCGAGGAUCCAUAGCUGGGCUGAGAGGAUGAUCCGCCACACUGGGAGUGGGACACGGCCCAGACUCUUACGCGAGGCAGCAGUGCCGAAUCCUGCCAUACGGGCGGAGUCCUGAUCCAGCUAGGCUGCGUGAGUGAUUAUGUUGUGAGGGUUGUACAGCUCUUUUACCCGGGGUGAUAAUGACGGUACCGGGAGAAUAAGCUCCGGCUAACUCCGUG